AAUUCACUUGUUUAAAUAAGUAUAUGGAUCAAAGACGUGGUAAUUUCGUUGUUGAUCAAAAAUGAGCUACUCGGUAACAGUAUUGAACAAUUGUGAAUAUUUUGAUGAAGAUAUAAAACUUCUUCAUACUUGGCUCGCGUUCAAUUCUCCAAACGGAAAUGAAUAUUUUAGCUUCGGCCCACCAAAUCUAUUGUGUGCUUUCACGAAAGCUUGCGAAGGUGUAUCUACCGUCAAUGAACGUUUGAAAACCAGAAGAUACACUGAAGCAAUACCUUUCGAAAUUACGGAAGACGAAUAUUGUAAAAUGUUGCGAGCCGGCGAACAACUAUAUGAUGAGCGUUUUAAGUAUGCUGCGAAACCAAAAAAUGGCCAUUUGAACUGCACGGUUGCUGCACGUAAAGUCUUGAAUGCUGUCAAUAUUGACUUACUUGAUGAUAUUGAAACUCCAAAAGGGUUGAGUAGCAAAGUUAGAGGAAAACCGGAAUACAAAUCCGAUGACGCCAAAUGCGCUCUUUUGGCGGAUACAUUGCCUGAUUUAGUAUCGUUUCUUGCUGUAUUAGCUGUUGUUGGUGGUACAAUAUACGCCGUUCAUCGUAUAUCGAACAGAAAAAACAAACAGUAACAGAAAUGUUGCCAUCAAGAAGUAAAUGUUGAUUGAAAAACAAAGGUCAAUAAAAGAAAUUACAUAUAAAAAA